rnacentral:siRNA from 1 species
AUAAGUCCCAACUACAAGAUUUA